GUCCGGAGGCUUCCAGGAGCGGCGGCAGCGCGGUGCCGGUUACCUCGAGGUUUUCAAGGGUUAAUUCCUGGAGUUUGGUAAACCCGAGCAAACGCAGGACUCCGAAUAGUAUCGGAGCAGGAACCCGCGCAUUCCCCAAGAUGUUCCAGGCUGGAGAGAUGGCUCAGAGGUUAAGAUUACUGGCUGCUCUUCCAGAGGUCCUGAGUUCAAUUUCCACAUGGUGACUCACAACCAUCUGUAAUGAGAUCUGGUGCCCUCUUCUGGCCUGCAGGCAGAACGCUGUAUACAUAAUAAAUAAAAUCUUAAAAAUCUUAAUAAAAUCUUUAAAAAGCUGA